AAAUUGAAGAGUUUGAUCAUGGCUCAGAUUGAACGCUGGCGGCAGGCCUAACACAUGCAAGUCGAGCGGUAGCACAGAGAGCUUGCUCUCGGGUGACGAGCGGCGGACGGGUGAGUAAUGUCUGGGAAACUGCCUGAUGGAGGGGGAUAACUACUGGAAACGGUAGCUAAUACCGCAUAACGUCGCAAGACCAAAGUGGGGGACCUUCUGGCCUCAUGCCAUCAGAUGUGCCCAGAUGGGAUUAGCUAGUAGGUGGGGUAACGGCUCACCUAGGCGACGAUCCCUAGCUGGUCUGAGAGGAUGACCAGCCACACUGGAACUGAGACACGGUCCAGACUCCUACGGGAGGCAGCAGUGGGGAAUAUUGCACAAUGGGCGCAAGCCUGAUGCAGCCAUGCCGCGUGUGUGAAGAAGGCCUUCGGGUUGUAAAGCACUUUCAGCGGGGAGGAAGGCGGUGAGGUUAAUAACCUCAUCGAUUGACGUUACCCGCAGAAGAAGCACCGGCUAACUCCGUGCCAGCAGCCGCGGUAAUACGGAGGGUGCAAGCGUUAAUCGGAAUUACUGGGCGUAAAGCGCACGCAGGCGGUCUGUCAAGUCGGAUGUGAAAUCCCCGGGCUCAACCUCGGGAACUGCAUUCGAAACUGGCAGGCUAGAGUCUUGUAGAGGGGGGUAGAAUUCCGGGUGUAGCGGUGAAAUGCGUAGAGAUCUGGAGGAAUACCGGUGGCGAAGGCGGCCCCCUGGACAAAGACUGACGCUCAGGUGCGAAAGCGUGGGGAGCAAACAGGAUUAGAUACCCGGUAGUCCACGCCGUAAACGAUGUCGAUUUGGAGGUUGUGCCCUUGAGGCGUGGCUUCCGGAGCUAACGCGUUAAAUCGACCGCCCUGGGGAGUACGGCCGCAAGGUUAAAACUCAAAUGAAUUGACGGGGGCCCGCACAAGCGGUGGAGCAUGUGGUUUAAUUCGAUGCAACGCGAAGAACCUUACCUGGUCUUGACAUCCACAGAACUUUCCAGAGAUGGAUUGGUGCCUUCGGGAACUGUGAGACAGGUGCUGCAUGGCUGUCGUCAGCUCGUGUUGUGAAAUGUUGGGUUAAGUCCCGCAACGAGCGCAACCCUUAUCCUUUGUUGCCAGCGGUUAGGCCGGGAACUCAAAGGAGACUGCCAGUGAUAAACUGGAGGAAGGUGGGGAUGACGUCAAGUCAUCAUGGCCCUUACGACCAGGGCUACACACGUGCUACAAUGGCAUAUACAAAGAGAAGCGACCUCGCGAGAGCAAGCGGACCUCAUAAAGUAUGUCGUAGUCCGGAUUGGAGUCUGCAACUCGACUCCAUGAAGUCGGAAUCGCUAGUAAUCGUAGAUCAGAAUGCUACGGUGAAUACGUUCCCGGGCCUUGUACACACCGCCCGUCACACCAUGGGAGUGGGUUGCAAAAGAAGUAGGUAGCUUAACCUUCGGGAGGGCGCUUACCACUUUGUGAUUCAUGACUGGGGUGAAGUCGUAACAAGGUAACCGUAGGGGAACCUGCGGUUGGAUCACCUCCUUACCUUAAAGAA
rnacentral:rRNA from 1 species